GCUGGUACCACUAAUCCUGAAUUUUAUGACUUCUCAAGGUAUUCAAGUAUUGAUGGUUUUGUUUAUGAUUUGCUUGCAAUAUUGGAGGAAUUACAAGUCAAGUCUUGUAUCUUUAUUGGUCACUCCUUUUCGGGUAUGGUUGGUGCCAUUGCCUCGCUUUCUCGCCCUGAUCUCUUCUCUAAACUCAUCAUGCUCUCUGCCACUCCAAGGUAAUUAAAAAUUCUGAGAUCUGAUUUCUUGCCUUAAUUGUCUUAAUCACCUCCUGAAAAUUUCUUGUUGGCUUUGGGCUAGGCUACUGAAUGGUGAGAAUUACUAUGGAGGGUUCGAGCAAGAAGACGUAGAAGAAAUAUUUGAAGGUGUGAGGUCGAAUUACAAAGCCUGGUGCUCAGGGUUCGCACCGAUGGUGGUGGGUGGAGACAUGGAGUCGUUAGCUGUGCAAGAAUUCACUCGAACUCUAUUCAACAUGAGACCUGAUAUAGCCCUGAGUUUAGCCGAGGUUGUAUUCCUGACAGACAUGAGACAUAUUCUUCCAUCAGUGACAGUCCCUUGCCACAUUCUGCAAACCGCCAAGGACAUGGCUGUGCCUAUGGCGGUAUCGGAGUAUCUGCAUCAACAUAUCGGAGGCCAAUCCAUUAUUGAGAUCAUGCCUACCAGUGGUCAUUUGCCGCAAUUGAGCUCUCCAGAUAUUGUGAUUCCAAUGAUUCUCAAGCACAUUCACUAUUUUAUCGAGUGAUUUUUUUUCUUAAUGUUCAAUUUUAUCCUACUUAUU
rnacentral:misc_RNA from 1 species